CGAACGUGGGUUUCUUGAUUCCCUAGCGGCUUUCGGGUUUUCUCGUCAUCCCCCGGAAAAGCGGAUGCUCCUUCGCGGGGCAUCAACCCCGGUUGACGCCCUACAUCGAGAGAGGCGUAAGCGGUCGGUCUGGUGUUUGGCUGCUUUCUCGUGUUUUACAGAAACCCGACGUAGCGAGCCUCGGUCCAACUGUCGUGUAGGUGGUGUCUCGGAUUUACGUGCGGUUUAAGGCAACGUGAAGGCCUCCUUUUUCCGGGAAGCAACGCGCUCCGUCCGACGAUGACGGGUGCUCCCUCACAGAGAUGCGUGCUGCAUCGUGGCCCCUCCGGCCACAAACAGCAUCCCUUGGCAUGGAAGGGGUUUGCCGGUUGGCGUCGCCCCGCCCUUCUUCUUGUCUUUCUUGCACUGGUCCUGGAGUUUGGCGUUCGACGCGUUUCUUCCCACAGUUCUGCGAGACGCGCGCACAACAGCAGCGGCGAUAGCGACAGCGAAGGGAACUCCGUCGACGACAGCGUCACACGUAACGACACCUCCACUGACGAAAGGCCGCACAGAAGAACGGGGAACUACCGCUCCGGCCCGCCAUCCACUCGUGGGAUUCACAAGAAACGUAGGAGGGUCGCAAUCGUCGCUUCCGCAACGCGGAGAGGCAAGAGGGGGGACCGGAAACACCGACGAAGAAGGACGACAAAGACAUUCGCGCCCCGGCGUCGCACACGCUGGGUUAGCACCGUGGAAACGUUUGCCCGAACGGUGGCGAAAGGUGGACGGAACCCCAAGGUGGUCGCCAUCGAACUCGCUGUGGUGGGCAUCCUCUUUCUCGCGGGUGUGCUGUAUUUUGAGUAUUCGAG
rnacentral:lncRNA from 1 species